ACCAGGAUGGCCGAGUGGUUAAGGCGUUGACUUAAGAUCCAAUGGAUGUAACUUCAUGUGGGUUUGAACCCCACUCCGGGUA
rfam:Astyanax mexicanus chromosome 17, whole genome shotgun sequence.